GAUGAACGCUGGCGGCGUGCCUAAUACAUGCAAGUCGAGCGAACGGACGAGAAGCUUGCUUCUCUGAUGUUAGCGGCGGACGGGUGAGUAACACGUGGAUAACCUACCUAUAAGACUGGGAUAACUUCGGGAAACCGGAGCUAAUACCGGAUAAUAUUUUGAACCGCAUGGUUCAAAAGUGAAAGACGGUCUUGCUGUCACUUAUAGAUGGAUCCGCGCUGCAUUAGCUAGUUGGUAAGGUAACGGCUUACCAAGGCAACGAUGCAUAGCCGACCUGAGAGGGUGAUCGGCCACACUGGAACUGAGACACGGUCCAGACUCCUACGGGAGGCAGCAGUAGGGAAUCUUCCCCAAUGGGCGAAAGCCUGACGGAGCAACGCCGCGUGAGUGAUGAAGGUCUUCGGAUCUUAAAACUCUGUUAUUAGGGAAGAACAUAUGUGUAAGUAACUGUGCACAUCUUGACGGUACCUUAUCAGAAAGCCACGGCUAACUACGUG
rnacentral:rRNA from 1 species